UACGGGGGGGGCAAGCGUUGUUCGGAAUUACUGGGCGUAAAGGGCUUGUAGGCGGCCAACUAAGUCCGACGUGAAAUCCCCAGGCUUAACCUGGGAACUGCGUCGGAUACUGGAUGGCUUGAAUUCGGGAGAGGGAUGCAGAAUUCCAGGUGUAGCGGUGAAAUGCGUAGAUAUCUGGAGGAACACCAAUAGCGAAGGCAGCUCGCUGGGACGUUACUGACGCUGAGACGCGAAAGCGUGGGGAGCAAACAGG
rnacentral:rRNA from 1 species